GACAAAAGUUAGUGCACAGAAGUAAUUGUGGCCAGAGACAGAGGAGUGAGAAUAUGUGAGAGAAACUGUCCUGGAGAUAUCAAAAUCAGUAAAGGGAGAUGGGGAGAGAGGAGGUGCUCCAGGUACCAGAACUGGGAUUCCCUUGCAGGCCAUGGUGAGGCAGCUGUGACCCUGCAGCCCAUGGAGGAUCACAGGGGAGCAGAGAUCCACCUGCAGUCCCUGGAGGACCCCACAGCAGAGCAGGUGGAUGCCCAAAAGAGGCUGUGACCCUGUGGGAAGCUCACCCUAGAGCAUGUUCCUGCCAGGACCUGUAGGUGCAUGGAGAGAAGAGCCCAUGCUAGAUCAGGUUUGCUGGCAGCGCUUGUAAUCCCAUGGGGGAUACAUGCUGGAACAGUUUGUUCCUGUUGUAAAAAAAGGACCCACACUGAAACAGUUCAUGGAGAACUGUGGCCUGUGGGAAGGAUUUCUCUCCCUGAGAAGGAAGCAGCAGCAGAAGUAAUGUGAUGAAGUGACCAUAAUGAUAACCACCUGGCCCCAUACACCACUGCUGGGGAGGAGGUAAAGAUACGGGAACAAAGUUAAUCCCUGGAAGGAGGGAGAAAAAAAAGUGGGGAAAAUGUGUUUUUAAAAUUUGCUUUUAAAAUACGUUUUAGUUCUCAUUAUCAUACUUAGAUUUAGACUUUUGUUGAUUUCUCCAAGCUGGGUUUGUCUUGCCUGUGACAGUGACAGAUCUCUCCCCAUCUUUAACUCAUGAGAUUUCAUUCUAUUUUCCCUCCCCUGUCCAGUUGAGCAGGGAAGGGAUAGAGCAGCUCUGGAGGGCAACCGGAAUCCAGACAAUGUCAAUGGCCAUUCUUUCUUGUCCUUUUCCUAUUCAUCUCAAAAAAAGUGAGAAGUUCCUCCUUCUUAAUAACUCCCCAUUCAGUGAAGCAUUUGGAUUAUGUCAUCUCAGUGUUCCCUUCUGAGAUCCUUAGCCUCCCCCUCUGUCACAUGCCCCUGGAAACAUGUUGGUUACCUUCUUCUGGAUAUUUUCUAUCUUCUAAGUAUUCCUUGCAUACCUAGGAACCCAUAUUGGACACAGUGUUGCAGACGGGGCCUCGCAAAUGGCAAGUAAAUAAUAAUCGUCUGCCUUCACCCCCUGUGAUGCUGAUGUGGCACAGUAUAGGUGUUAGUCUUAAUUUCCCCAGAGUUGCAGUCUUGACCCUCGUUUCACUUUUUAACCGGGACCCGCAGGUUUUUUUUGCAAAGCCACUAUCUCAUUAGUCAGUCCUCAACCUCUACCAUUGUUAGGGGGCUUUUGCCCUGGGUGCAAGGCUUUGUCCUGCCAGGACAUUCUCCAGCUUGUUCAAAGUGUCCUCUGGUAUGUCAGACACCCCCUGGUUUCAGCCACUCAUCUCAUCAUAAAAGACCAUGGCAUGGGCUAUACAAAAUGUGCCUUUCUGCCUUCCCCCUCUCCAAUUUUAGAAAUUCCAACUAAGGUUAAGUUCUCUAGUGCUGUAUUUUUUGGGAGGUGGAAAUGCAUAUUUUUGGAAGAUGGCCAAACAACUGAAAUCUUAUUCUAUUUUAAAUGCAUUUUCAUCACUUUUGUGUUCCAAACUUAAGGAAGCCCUUAAAUGGGCAUUGUUGCAUGCAUGUGUAAAUCCUGGUAAUUUAGCUAACCUUGUAAUGUGUGAGUGGAAGACCCUAAUCUAUAUAUUGCUCUUUAACUCCUCAUGUAGUUUGCAAUGUAACUAAUUAGUAACAUGGGCAAACGACCACACCCAAAUUUUGGCCAGUCAGCCAGUCACGUGCAAAGCGUUUCUGGGACUGAUAAAUGCUGCCAGCACAGAUCAGGCAGUUCCACCUGACCUAGCAGGAGGUGCCUUCAGGAGGGUACUUGCAGAGUGGAGUCCUUUCAGCCAGAAGCUGGCCAUUGAAUAAGAGAAAUUUGGAUCAGGGUAGCAAAGACUCCAAUAAAACUCACUUCAUAAUACACUGCUGCAAUUGUUCAUCCAAGAGGUUAAACUGGAAUUUAGAUCCAAUUUGAGUUUCAUUGUGUAAAAAAAGAACAAGUAUAUGAUGUUGGCUGACUUCAAAAGAUAGAAUAUUCCUCUGUAAAAUAUGAGCAAUAAUUGAAAUUUAUAAUAACUUUCUUUUUGUCUUAUGUAGAUAUGAUUCAAUGAAAAUGAAAAAAGAUUUUUAGAACAAUAUAUAAUUCUUCAUACAAUCCAUAAUUAGCUUGUAUCCAGGGAACAUGGAAAUUCACAGUGAAACCAGAUACAGUGUAAAAUGUACAAGAUGCAUUUGCAUAUAACAAAGAUUAUGAGGAGCUGGUGAGAAGUUUUGAACUAAGGCUUCUGUUGCAACUUGAUGAUCAAAUUAUUUUUUGUUUCUUGAUUCACCUGGCUUCACUGUCAUUUUUCCCAGGAGAAAAUAAUUGUGAGCUGGAGUGAAUUCAUGUUGUGAUGCUGCAUUGAACAGAGUUCAUUUUUGCAGAGGUGAAGGUGGAGGCAAAGAAUCUAGACUGUUGAAGAGAGAGGCGUAAAGAGAAGAUUAAAAAGCAAGGAAGCGUAAACAUAAACAUCCGAGUCCUGAGUGUAAUCAGAGCAAAAGUGCAUAGAAAAUCCAGAAAUAACAACAUUUCUAUUCGAAAGGAUGUCACUAUUUUUAUGAUUUCAAGUUGAAGGAUCUGCACGCUUGCAGAAAGCCAGCAUGAGAACUGAAAAUUAUUCUGAUUAAUUCAAAGAGCAGUCCACAAAAGGAACCACAGAAUAACAGAAUGCGUCAUGUUGGCAUGGAAUGCAGUGGUUCCUCUGGUCCAACCUCCCUGGUCAAGCAGCUCAUUCCAGAAUGGCACAGGAUUGUGUCCAGACAGUUCUUGAAUAUAUACAGUGAGGGAGACUCCACAGCCUCUGUGGGCAACCUGUUCCAGUUGUCAAUCACCCACGCAGUAGAUAAGUUGUUCCUCAUGUUCUGGUGGACUUUACUAUGCAUCAGGUUUUGCCUUUUGCCUAUUUUAUUGCUUGGCGCCAUUGAGAAGAACCUGGCUCUAUCCUCUUGACACAAGGCAUAUUUCAAUUUUGGAAAUAUGAAAUUCUGCUCUAGUCAAGAAUGGAUACUGUGUGGGUGGAGGGAAGCAUUAGUAAUUAAAAAAUAAUGCUGAGGAAUUAGAUAAGGAUGCUACAGAGUAUAUGUGUACAUGAACCUCUGUGAAUUACAUUCCCAAAGAGAAGUACAGUAUUAGUGCCACAGUCUAUCAUAUUACCAGAAUGGUAACAAUUACCACAAACUGAUGAAGAAAUUAGUGAGGUCAAAAAUUAUAAUAAUGACAGUCUUCAAUUUUCUGCUAUCAUGCUGUUAAGAUUUCCAGCAUUCAGGAGUGAAUAGCCUAUCUUGAGAUUGUAAAGGCUAUAGGGAAAAUGAGACAAGACUUCUUCAACAGUAACAUUCUAAUUUUUAGAGGAAAAAAAAAUUGAAAGAAUAAGUUUAAAAAAGUUUACAUUGGAUUGGAGACUACAAAAAUAUCAUGCAAUACGCCAAAUGUCAAUAAAUACCCUCUACUUGGGUGACAUUGAGAGCAUUAAAAGCAUUUAAAACCAAAAUAACAUUGCUGUGAUUCCACCACAAAGACAGAUGCUAGAAUACAGAAUAACUUCUAAAAAAAUGUAUUCAUGUCCAAAAGAGGGGGAAAAAAACAAGAUGAAGAAUCUCUAUAAUGCUAAAGGUAUAAUCACAGAAAAGUCCAAAAAUACUAUUAUGAAGCCCUAGAUAAAUGUUCACAGACAUCUUAAUCACAAUGGAAAGAAGCAGCUGACCAGACCAUUAGUGCAACAGACCUGUAAUCACAAGCAGCACUCAACACAAACAUAAAUAAUAUCAGAAAAAGCUAAACUAAUUCUUUGCAUCAGUUUUCACUGAAGAGAAGGUCACAUCAAUUCUCAGCACCACUCUUUAUGAGUGAUUGAUUUGAGGAACUAUCUCAAUUCAAAUAUUA